GCCGGGAUAGCCAAGCGGUAAGGCGGCACUAGCCCAUCGUUAGCGCUAAGGGCCGCAGUGGGUGGUUGGUCACCCGUUUAUCGAGGGUUCAAAUCCCUCUCCCGGCU
rnacentral:tRNA from 1 species